GAUGAAGAACGCAGCGAAAUGCGAUAAGUAAUGUGAAUUGCAGAAUUCAGUGAAUCAUCGAAUCUUUGAACGCACAUUGCGCCCGCCAGCAUUCUGGCGAGCAUGCCUGUUCGAGCGUCAUUUCAACCAUCAAGCCCCAGGCUUGUGUUGGAGCCCUGCGGCUGCCGCAGCCUCCCAAAACCAGUGGCGGGCUCGCUAUCACACCGAGUGCAGUAGUUUACUCUUCGCUCAGGGCGUGUGGCGGGUGCUAGCCGUGAAACCCCCAACUUCUCAAGGUUGACCUCGGAUCAGGUAGGAAUACCCGCUGAACUUAAGCAUAUCAAUAAGCGGAGGA
rnacentral:misc_RNA from 1 species